rnacentral:miRNA from 1 species
UCCCAUCUUCUCCCAACCUACUACAUAUUAUAUAGUAGGGUGGGGGAAGAUGGGACAC